ACGCUGGCUCCGUGCCUAAUACAUGCAAGUCGAGCGGAGAUAUUAGCAAUAGUAUCUUAGCGGCGGACGGGUGAGUAACGCGUGGGCAACCUGCCUUUAACUGGGGGAUAACACUGGGAAACUAGUGCUAAUACCGCAUAAAAUCAUGAGAGGACAUCCUUUUAUGAUCAAAGGAGCAAUCCGGUGAAAGAUGGGCCCGCGUCCGAUUAGCUAGUUGGUGGUGUAACGGACCACCAAGGCGACGAUCGGUAGCCGAACUGAAAGGUUGAUCGGCCACAUUGGGACUGAGACACGGCCCAGACUCCUACGGGAGGCAGCAGUGGG
rnacentral:sRNA from 1 species